UACGAAGGGGGCUAGCGUUGCUCGGAAUCACUGGGCGUAAAGCGCACGUAGGCGGCUUCUUAAGUCAGGGGUGAAAUCCUGGGGCUCAACCCCAGAACUGGCCUUGAUACUGAGGAGCUUGAGUCCGGGAGAGGUGAGUGGAACUCCGAGUGUAGAGGUGAAAUUCGUAGAUAUUCGGAAGAACACCAGUGGCGAAGGCGGCUCACUGGCCCGGUACUGACGCUGAGGUGCGAAUGCGUGUUGAGCAAACAGG
rnacentral:rRNA from 1 species